UUACUAAUUUUUUUAUUAAUUUAAUUAAUAAUUAUAAUUAUUUAUAUUUCUUUUAGUAUUUUUUCUAACUAAUUUUUAUUGAAUAAAAAACUGUAAAGGUUUAAUUUAAUUGUUUGUAUUAAAUUUAUUUAGUACCUUUUGUAUCAGGGUAAAUUAAAUAAUUAAUUUAUAUUAUAAUCCCGAAAUAAAAAUAGUUAUUUCUUUUUUAAUUUAUUUGUAAAAUCAAAUUUUAAAAAUUGGAUUUAGUAGUUAUAUGCUAGUCGUUUUUUAUAUAUCUGGUUACUGUGGAUUUAAUUAAAUUAAUUAUUCAUUUAUUUUUUUUUAUUAAAAUUUAUUGGAAUAAAAUUUUAUUAGGGAUAAUCUUAAUAUUUCUAUUACAAUAUUUUUAUUUUAUGAAUUUAUUUACUUUAAUAUUUUGUAUUAAGUUUUUAUUAAAUUGGUUCUAUUUAUUAUAAUUUUCUUUUAUUUAUUUUUUUACUCAGUUUUUUAAUUUAAUAUUUAUAUUAUAAUAAUAUUGAUUUAAUUAGUAUAAUAGUUAAUUAUUUUUUUAUGAAUUCGACAAAUUUAGGUAUUUUCAACUGUUUAACAAAAACUUUUCUUUCAGUUUAUUUUGAAAGUAUAUUCUGCCCUAUGGUUAUUUUUCUAAAUGGCUGCAGUAUUUUGACUGUGCAAAGGUAGCAUAGUAAUUAGUUUCUUAAUUAGAAUCUGGUAUGAAUGGAUGAAUGAAAAAUGUAUUUUAUUAAUUUUAUUAUUAUAAUUUUAAUUUUAAGUAAAAAUGCUUAAUUGUAAUCCUGGGACGAUAAGACCCUAUAGAACUUUAUACUAAUAAAUUAUUUUAUAUAUUAAUUUUUUUAUUUUAUUAUAUAUUUUAGUAUUUUGCUGGGGUGGUAAAUAAAUAUUUAACUUUAUUUUAAAAAUUCAUUAAAUUAGUGUUUAUUAUGAUCUUUUAUAAGAAUAAUAAUAUUAAGUUACCUUAGGGAUAACAGCGUAAUUUUAAUGGAAAGUUCAUAUUUAUAUUAAUUUUUGCGACCUCGAUGUUGAAUUAAGAAAAAAUUAAGGGGUAGAUUUUUUAAUUUUAAGUCUGUUCGACUUUUAAUUUCUUACAUGAUUUGAGUUCAAACCGGCGUGAGCCAGGUUGGUUUCUAUCUGGGAUAAAUUUAUUUUAUUUAGUACGAAAGGACCAAUAAAAUGCACAUUAUGUGUUGUUUUUUUAAUAU
rnacentral:rRNA from 1 species